AUGGAGGCUCAGUGCGAAAACCUUUGGAAAUCUCCAGAUGCCAUUACAAAAUUAACCAUGAUGAUGAUGAUGCACUUUUUGAGCACAGCUCUUUCUUCCAGAAGAGACAAGGAGAGGGGGGCAGUGCCUGGACUUCACAGGCGAGACACGAAUGAUGGAAAGAAAGAAAGACAAGAUCAGAGGUCAAAGAGCCUUUUUCGGAGGGGAGGGAGGCCUCGGAGACGGUCGGGGAAGAAUUCCAACAUCAUCUCUUGCAACAACUUGUAUGACAAUUUUGUUAAGCGGCUCUUCAAAAAAAGUAAACAGGUGCCAUUUUAAAAAUCAACAAAUUUUCCUCUACAAUGAAACAGACUAACAGAAGCCUUGAUUUCACGUGUUCUCUCAGCAGGAAUGUGCACAGGCCUUUGAUGAAGCUUGAAGCCCAAACCAAAAUGGGCCCUGUGGGUUACGACGCUUGCCAAAAAUGACAUGAUCAGCAGCAAAUAUGGGCUGCGUCCCAAACUUUGUUUGCACUUUGGAAAGGAAGCAGGUGGGAGUGAUUAGCAAAAACAAAAAGAAAAGCCCAAUUUAAGCGUCGUUUUUAUGAGAAUACCCUGUGCAGAAAAUUAUGAUGUUUUAGGGUGAGGGUGGACCCCAAGCAGAUUUUCUGUAUUUUGCCAGCUCUAGACUCUAUGCUGAAAUUUAUAGAUGCACAGCCCUGUUCUCCUAAGUACCAGCCUGACAAGGCUUUCCUGAGGCUUACCUUGAAACAGGCUCUGCGGUUCAAAGGUUAAUCCUGACCCUUUCUUUUCCUCACCAAGGUGAGCUGGUCCUUAAGAGUCCGAGGCUAAGACGGGAGAGAUCUGGGUGCAAAUACUGACUUGGCUAGGACGUUCCUUGAGUGGCCUUGGACCAGCCCCUUCCCUCUCAGCCCAGUAUGGGAUGAGGGAGAACCACAAAGUUCACAAAGUAAGGGAAGUAGACAAAAAAAUGUACUGUACAAGCAAAACAUUGGCACCCAUUUGACAUUUAAGCUCACAUGCCAUUUAAAAAGACGCCACAGACAUCCGAGGCCUUAGACCAUAACUAACCUUUAUUGGAGACAUUUGGGGGUCAUCUUUUAUAUAGAAGUAACAUCAUCACGUCACCCUCUUCCAAGUCACCCCCUUAUAAAUCUGUAGCAAAAGUGCACCUUUUCAUCUAUAGUAUAUAUCUUUCCAUAUCCUCUGCCUCUCAAAGUCAGCUAUUUUAUUUGCAAAAACAUUAGUGUCAACUAUACAAAAUACAAGCUUCAUGUUCUCCUCGGCUACCUGGCUGUAUUUGGUGUUUCAGGUGUGCA
rnacentral:lncRNA from 1 species